GUGAAGAUUUUUUUGCUUGUGUCCCAAAGGGAGUUGUGUUUCGUCCCGCCCGGCAGGGCUGCCUUUUAAAGGAAGGAAGAAAAGGAAGAGAAAGGAGGAGGGAAGAAAAAGAGAGAUCGGGACUCAUCAGGAAACAGCUCAAGGUUUCCACCCGGUGGCGGCACAGGAUAUUGCAGGAGUCCCAUUCAGGUUUAUCUGAAUUGAUUAAAGAGGAUGAUGAUGAGGAUGAGGAUGAUGAUGAGGAGGAUGGCCAAUCAGAAGGAUACGAUGAUAAGAAGAAGAAAAAAGAGAAUAUUUAUUUAUUGAUUCAUUGGUUGAGCAUCAGCCGGGAAACAGAAAUCCCCGCAAAUCGGUCGGGAUCCAUCACCACCCGCGGUACCUAUUUACCUACUCGCCUUCCCGCUUUUGGCCUACUGGGUGGGCGGGGGGAGCUGGGGCUGGCGGGGGGAGCUCGCCCCGACCCGGGAUCCAGAGAGGGGUCGUUUUUUGCAUAGAUCAAGGCCUUCCUUCCUUCCUUCCUUCCUUCCUUCCCUCCCUCGUCCGCUCCAAACAUCUUUGGCACCGAGUUCCAAACGUAUCACGAAAAAUAGUCCCUUGGACCCCCACCCGCCGGCUCCCCAAAACAGGUACGUGAUGGGAUUUGGAGUCCGUCCAUGCUCAGUUCCCACCGGCGACGAAUCACGACCCAAAUGUGGCAAACACACCCGUCAGGACACACGAGAUGGGCUUCAGGGGGCGGAGCACGGUGGCAGUUGGACUCCGCCCUGAUGCAAACAGCCUUGAGACUCCUGCCGAUCGCCGGAUUUGACCCAAAGUUGGCACACAGACCCGCCAGGACCAGUUGUAAGUAGAGUCUGUGCCUGUUGAAGAGGACGAUGGGAGUCGCAGUCGCCCUGGAUGAUGGGAGUCGCAGUCCGCCCCCACCCACAGGGCCCCAAAAGGGAUGGAUUUGAACCAAAUAAAUGCCUUUAAGGACUUG